UGAAAACCUAGAUUUUCCAUGAGAUGAUCUGGAGCACCUAGAUCCUGACACAGUUGUGUCCUAGCUCGCAUCUGUUGGGCUCCGUGACCUAACCUGAUGGGACGGCUUAUGGCAGGAGGAAUUUUUAAAUAGCCAGUAGGCAACAGGAUCUUCUGUGCUUCUUUUGUAGUUCCCUACUGUCAGGGUGGUAAGGCACUGGCACAGGUUGCCCAGGGAAGCUGUGGAUGCCCCAUCUCUGGAGGUGUUCAAGGCCAGGCUGGAUGGGGCUUUGGGCAACCUGGUCUGGUGGGAGGUGUCCCUGCCCAUGGCAGGGGGUUGGAACUGGAUGGUCUUUAAGGUCCCUUCCAACCCAAACCAUUCUGUGAUAAAGCACAGGCACAUAGAAAAGGUAUCCAGGUGUGCCAAUUAUAUCAGGAUUUAAGAGGCAAAAGCUGCAAGCUAGAUUGCUGCAAGAAGGUAGAAAGGAAAGCUGAACCAGGGAGCAUCCAUCUCCGAGCAGACAGCAGAAAUAAGUGCUGCCCGCAUGAGGUGCCAGAACUGGCACUCCCUCUGAGCCUGCAUGACAUGGGUAAAAUCCUUCUGUGCUGCCUGAGAGAAGGAAGAACAACUGGAAAGGAAACAAAACCAGGAGCACCAGCCAUUCCCAGCUCAGAGCAGACACUCCUGCUUCAUGGUCUGUCUUCCUGUCCGGAGGAUUAUGUGCUGCAAAAGUUUGCUUUCCUGACACUCGCUGCUGCCGUGGCCAGAGCUCUGCAGGAAAACCUUGCUUGCCCUCCUGCUGCAAAACCGAAGAAGCAGCUCUCCUGCCUGGUGUGUGGGUCUUUUCAAAAGCUACCCAGGUUUGGAAAACAAGCCCGUCACCCUGGUUUCUGUCUACAACAAAAAUCACAAGAAGCCAGCAAAUAA
rnacentral:lncRNA from 1 species